rnacentral:lncRNA from 1 species
AUAGAACAAAAAUUCAUAAAUAGGAAAGUGGGAAAUGGCGAUGAAGCUUCAUCUUCAUCAUCUGGCCAGCGAAGCUGCAACUGCUAUGGUGUUGGUGUCACCUUGUAUUUCUCCAUGCAAAUCAAGGUCGAACCUUCAAUAUCUUUAAGAAGCUAAGUAUUCCUUUUUCAUUUCGAUUCGCAACUGAAGUUACGAACCGGUCUAGCAACUGACCAAGCUCUUAAUCGAUCCUGUUGCAGAUUCUUCUUAUAUGUCUUAGCGUGCCAUUCAAUCUCCAGUCUUUGGUGUCAAGUUCGAACUUCACUGUCAGCUAAGUGUCUUGAAUUCUUGAUAGUUUGUAUUCAUCUUCCUAGUCGUUUUAAUCUCCUUGCCACUAGAUCAAUGGGAUGGACCUCAUUUGAGAUUAAUACACCAUCAAAUCUAAGUGUAAAAGAGAUAUAGACCACCUAAGAACUGUGGAUAUUAACUUGUUUCUUUCCCAAAAUUUCCCUAAUGCAGAUGUGCGACUAAUUCCAGAUAUUCGGAUCUGUUAAUUUUAAGACCAAGCUCCCUCAAACUUGAUCUAGUAUUUAAGAUACACCAAAAAUUCUCACAAGUGAGGAUAUCCAAAUCAUUGAAAAAUUUUCAGUCUGAGAAGUUAAUUGGUAUUCAUAUUAAUUACUAACAUAUCUAGAAUGUUAAACAUAACUCUGCAUGUUGAUGUCCAUGUGGGAUUGCUGUAUUUUGCCCUUUCUUUGAAUGAAGUUCUGACGCUUGCCUUCUCUAUUAAUAUCAAAACUUGUUAUUAUUUCCUCUUUGUGUGUUGAUUGUUGCUGCUCAGAAAAAUAGUUACAGAGGUGCAAUUAAUAUUCUAUGAUCUCUCUCUUAACAUUUGGUAGACCUUGCUUGUCUAGGAUUACGAUAUUCUUUCCAAUGAUAGGAAUGUCUUGAAAAUGGUCUAUUUGGUAAUCACCUGUAAAAGAAAACAGAAGAUUAGCAAAAAACAAAAAUGACAAGAGUAUUUCCCUCACUUAGGGAGUGUCGUACUCUUACUGAUAUGGUCUCAAUUAUCUCCAAUAUACAUCUCAGUUCCAUCGUAAUGCACCAAGGGAUCUUCCAUUCCCUAUUAAUCAUCUGAACUAAGGCUAAAGAAUCUGAUUCUAAAAUCACUUUGUUAAUCUGAUUAUCUUUGUAGAAUGUUAAUCCUUCUCUAAUGGCUCUUGCCUCAGCUACAAGAUUAGUGGUAUCAUGAAUUUUGAAACCCUUAACAACCAAUAAGUUUUCUUUUGAAUUUUUAAUACAGAAAGCAGCAACAAUAGGGCCAGGAUAUCCCUAGAUGCUCCAUAUGUAUUGCAUUUAACCCAAUUCACAGGUGGUGGGGACUAUUUCACUAUCUUAAAAGAAAAACAAGGUCUUUAUCUUUCCAAAACAGCAACAAUUUGUGUCCAGUUCAUGUUGUCACAAGUGAUUUUAAACCCGUUUCUUAGGAAUUUCUUUAAAGUAUCUGUCACUUUCCACAUAACUCUGCCUAUGGUAUAAGUCCCACCAUGGAGCACUGUAUUUCUCCUCUUCUACAAGAACCACAAUAUGAAAAUAGGAACUCCUUGAACCACCCCUCUUAAUUUGUCAUUACCAUCAAUGCUCCACCAUUUUAUGAUGGCUUGCUUUAAAUUUACCAAAGGAUUGAAACCUGCUGCUCCAAAAAAAGUAUCUCGAGACUAUUUGAGCAAUAUUUUCUUAAAGAAUAAAUGCUCAGUAAAUUUAGCUUCUUUGUUAUCACAACACCUACAAAAUUGUGAAAUGUCAGAAUUCCAGAAAUGUAUUACUUGUGCAACAAGUAAUUUUCCUUUCCAAAUUCUCCAAGCAAGAAAGAAGAAUUUGAAAAGGGAGAUUCUUACUCCAUUACCUCUUCAGAUCAUCAUUAACUUCUUCUCUUUUCCUUAACAAUUUUCAAACAUUUUUAACAGUAAAGAGUUCAGUAUUUGUAACAGUAACGCCCCAAAAAUGGGUCCCGAGACGUCACACGAUGCUCAAGACUAUGAGUAGCCUUAAGCUAACCCUAUAAACCAUCUACUAAAUCUGAAACUCAUAAUAGGGAAGUAUGGAUAUAUAUAAUCAAGCUAAAAUGCGGAAUUCUGAAUGAGCUAAUUUGAAAAUGUCUGAAUAUAGUAUCUGAAAAUACUAACUCAAGAGUUUGAUCAAUCAAUACUGAAAAUCUGAAGCAUAUCUAGCAGUCUGACAAUCCUCUAUUACUAAUGCUAGAGAGUCACUGGGACAAACCCCCAGCUAACUCGAACAGUUUGAAAAUUCUGAAUCAUACAUACUAAUAAGCUGAAAAAUGAAAGACUAAGUCCCCGAACUAUGUGGACUCACCAACUGUCGAGAUGUAGAUGGAGAUGCUAGAAAUCACUCACGCUGAGCCAAUGUAGCACAUAGACGUAUUUGUGGAUUAGUACUUCUGGAUUGUACCGAGUCUAUGGGGGUGAAUGCACAAUUAAAUCAAUAUCUCAAUAUUAUUAUAAAUUUGGAAAAGAAUGCAUGCUAAAUGUAGACGACUCACAUAAGCUGGAAUAUCUGAAAACUGAAAAUCAUAAUCAUGAAUAGCAAACAUGUUACAUAGAUCUAGUGAGUCAUAACAUUUAGUUUCUAAAAGCUGUACUUGUAUUCUAUCUUUAAAUUAUGUUGUCCAAGUGUAGAAAGGAUUCACUUUUAUAUCUAAAAUCUAAAUAUUAAUAUGAAUGACCCUCUCGACAAUGAUAUGAAAUGGCCCUCUCGGCGAUGAUAUGAAAUGGCUCUCUCGGCAAUGCUAUGAAAUGACCCUCUUGGCAAUGAUAUGAAUGGCCCUCUUGGUAAUUUGAAAACAGUUUCACCUGAGUUUGUUUGUCUGCGUCUUGCUUUCUACAUGUACCUGUACUCAAGGUAGAUGAUUAGUAGACAUAAAUUCGCUUUUGCUAGCGACUAUUCUUUUAGAAAAAUUCUAAAUACAAUAUUUGUAAAGAAGACAAGACACUUUUAUUUGUCUUCCAUGAUCUCAAGAAAUGGGAUGGACAAUUCAAAAGGUCCUCAAUAAAUGGGUAUUAAACUUAUUUUUAGGGCUACCCAAAAAUACCAUUCUUGAGCAUUAGUGCUCUAGUGUGGCUCCCAAUUUGCUCGGAGAUUUUUGAAAAAGACUCUCAUUUUUGUGUAUUGGUCCCUGCAUCCACAGAACAAUGAUUAGUUUGAGUGAAACUACUCUUUGUUGACUUUCUUCGAUUCUCCAUUUGCUCUACGCCAUCUUUUGGGUACUCCGUCAUGUUGGGACUUCCACCCUUAACUCCCCGUCCUAAUUGAUGUCUAGGUAAUCAUUAGGUAAAAGAUUUAUAUAGAUUUUUGAAAGUAGUCUUAAUUUUUUAGAAAAUAGUUUCGAAAACUCUUACAAAACUUUCGAAAAUCUCUGCCAGUCAUGUCAUGUGCUAGCUCAACGACCAUCUUUCUCUUGAUUUUGAUAAUGUUCGAUGUUUGAUGGAGGAUUUCUAGGGAUUCAGUAUUGUCGAGGCUCUCUUUCAGAAGUUUUAUCAAAGAUGGAGAUUCAGUCUUCCUAGACUUUAUCACAGGUGGUGAUACUCAAAUCUCAACUUCGACCUCUAGUGCUGGGGAAUUUAAAAUAUAUUUCAAUAUAUUAGUUGAAAUUUUGAGGACCUCCUCAAAAUUUCUACCAUAGUUUCAAGUAGUUUAAGAUGAUAUCAUCUCGAGAAGAUCCAAAGUCAUUGUUGGUCUUCGUUCUCCUUGUUGGAUGUCGAUCUUCCCUUGUGAAUUUUUGAGAAGGAUUCUCGAAAAUUCUUCCCCAGUUUUCAUUUCCUGGGGUUAUAUGACCGAGACGUUGGGGGGCCUACGUAUUCCGUUGAAGCAGGAAUCAGGUCAAACAUAGUUCAAGACUAUGCUAAGGAUAUAUAGAAAAAUCUAAUAGGUUGAUCGAAGCCGACAUAGGCCGCCUACGUAUCCCUUUUGUUGGGAAUUCAGGUCAUCACGUAGUUCAUACAUAAAAGGAAAGGAUAAAGUAUCCUAACGGGUUGACCGAAGCCGACAUAGGCCGCCUACGUAUCCCUUUUUUGGGAAUUCAGGUCAAAUGUAGUUCGUACAUAAAAAGAAAUGAUAAAUUUUCCUAAGGGGUUGACCGAAGCUGACAUAGGCCGCCCACGUAUCCCUUUUUGGGAAUUCAGGUCAAACGUAGUUCGUACAUAAACUUAUAAUGGCCCUAAAAAUACUCUUACCCAUCUUACUAGGAUAUAAAUAAGUACUUCUAUGGAUGACAUGACGUUUGCAUUUCAUUUAUCUUGAUAAAGCAAAGGAUCAAAUGUCCAAUGGAGUCAUCGCCUUCCUAGUUAACCACCUCGGUUUCCUCUAGAUUAGGCUUCUUUGAUUCUCGAACUCUUUGGCUCUUCUGUUGACUGUUCUAGGGCUACCAUUAUUUUGCUUCUUGACAUGACAUGACAUGACAAUGGCAGGUUUUAAGUUACUGUUAUACGUUGGGUGAUGAGUCAUGAGUGGAGUGGAGGUCCAACUCAAUAAUGUUUCCUCUAGUUAAUCUUUCAUGAUUCCGAUUGUCUUGGAAAAUUCUUCCCUCACAUUUUCCCUUUUUCCAUCCUCGAGACUAUCGCUUACAGGGAUGAAAAAUGUUGGUAGAGUCCAAUUUUACUACAAGUCAUUUUUGUUUUACUGUAACAAAGCUAUAGUCAAGAAGCAGAUCUCUUAUUCAUUUUGAUCUGGUGAAGUAGGGUCAUUUUGUGCCAACACAGAGUAGUUUCUAUUACCUGCAAAGUAAAAACAACUCAAACGCCGAUGUGUUAGAUUUCGUUAGUAAUAAGUAAAGCAAGAAGAUAAGGUAGGAAAUAAACACAUAGAGUUGUUUCUCAUCUCAUGCGAAUUGAUCCAUGAAAUAGUCAUGACUCGAGGAUUUCAAUGAACAGGAUUUUGCUCAAUGAUAUGGAUAGGUGGAAUUUGUCGGGAAGGUUCAACUCUUCUUCUUCCUUCAAGAAAGUGGAGGACAACAGAGCUUUUGAAGAUAUGGGCUGGGGCGAAAGACUGCCUACAUAUCUCACGGAGGAGAAAUCAGGCUCUACAUAGUUUGAAACUAUAACAACUUUUCUGAUUCUAAAGUCAACUUUCCUAAAAUGGUAGCGAUCAUUUUGGAUGUUUUAAGAAUGACUACGGACUUUUCUGAGAAACUUGGGAGACUUGGAGUACUUUUAGUCGGACUUUUGUAUAGUGGGGUAUAUUUCUUCCUAGAGAUGUUCUAUGGCAAAUGGGAUUGGAUUAGANNNNNNNNNNNNNNNNNNAAUCAACAUAACACGUAUAAGCACAUAAAUAGUUAUAUUACACAAGCAUAUUGUAAUAAAUGUGCAUCCUAAUUAGGUGACCCUUUUGAGCCAAGGGUUUGGGCCUAACAAUUUUUAAAGAACAAAUAUAUGCUUGCUUAAGGUCAAUCCAUUAUCCCUCAACUUUUAUAGACACUAAAAGGGCGUAAAUGCCUACAAAAGAUAACGAAAGAGGGAUAUAAUCUUUAGGGAAAGGGAAAUAACAUGAAAGAAGAUACGUUCCCACACAGGGGAUAAGAAAUACAAAUUCCUGAGUGCUUUUUCUAUCAGCCUUCCCCUUCUUAGCUUCAUCCAUUUCUUAUAUUGGUGUAAUACCCCGCAUGUUUCUAACCUAGGAAGUGAAUAAGUAUUCCUACGUAUGAAAUCUCCUAUCCUGUGAUUCAUACUUGAGUACAUGACUUAUAAUGAAUAUCCUAGUGAUAGGAUAGCUUAUGAUGCAUUAAGCAUGUUCAUAUGAGUCACUUAAGGUAAUACAAACUAAGAGUUUUUUAAUCCAUCAAGUUUUAGUGUUUGAUUUUGCAAGGGUCAUCUUUGAAUAUGUAUAACUGGAUGUUAAUGUGGUAUUCUGGCUGAUUUAGACACACCAAAUUGUAGAGAAUUCGCCUUAAUCCAAUACCCGAGUGAAAAGUUAUGCCCAUUUUCGUGAGAAAGAGUAAGGAUAGGCGAUUGGUUAGGCACCGCCCAACCAAACAUAGGCGAUUGGUUAGACGCUGCCCAACCUAGCUUAGGCAAUCACUUGGGCUCUAUCUAAGUCAGUUUCAGGUGCCAAAAACACUCCAUUUUGAGUUAUUUUAAGGGUAAUUUAGUCUUUUAACACUCCUUACACGUCCCUAAACUUAACCCUACGAAAUAUAAAGCUUCUAAACAUAUUACAACCCUGUUAACAUCUCAAAGCUCAUCAUCCAAGAAUUCUAAAAGAGAAAAAACAGCUAGGGUUGCAUAAUUAAGCUUGAAGAUCCAAUUUCAAGGAAAUUCCUCCGUCAAUCAUCAAGAAUAUUCCUUCUAAGGUAUGCGUGAGUUGAUUCAUGGACUCCUUUCGUCCAUGAAGCUCAAGAAUCAUCUUAUAAAUUGUGUAUUAUGAUGUUUAUGUUGUUGGUGGUUGAUGUUCAUGUGGUUGGAGUUCGAUGAUGCCUAAGAUGGGAUCUUUGUAUGUUUUAUGUGAGGAUAUGGUGGUAUUUAACGUAUAAACAUAUUAAAUUGGUGGUUGAAUAUUUGAAAUCUUGAUGAAUCCACCUAUGCCUAAGAUGUGCAUGUAAGGUGUUUGUGAAAAUACCUAAGGGAAUAGAAAUCAUGCUUUUAUGACAUAAUAAGUCCUAAAUGACUAUUCCAUAUUCUAAGUUUAUGUUCAAUGUGAUCCCCAUGCUAUUGUCUUGAAUUGAAGAUGUUGUAUGAGAUGCUCAUGAUAUUAUUGUGAUAUGGAAUGACCAUGUUAUUGAAGCCGUGCAAGUAUAUACAUGUUGUGUGCAUUUUCGAUCAUAUGAUAGUUUGUUGAGAAUUAUUCUUGUUAUGAAAUCCUUACUUAUGAUAUUGUGAAUUAUGGACUCUACUCUUAUGAUCAAGUCAGUCAUGUGUGUCAGUUUCCUUCUAUCGAGUCCUGGGGGUACUUAUACCCAAAAACUAUAGCUGUGUGCCUAGAGCUAGUGUCAUGUUUCAAGACAUCCUCAGUCAAGCUAUGUUCCAUAGAUUGCAGUUAGUCAUGUGACUCAGGAAAGACUCAGAAAUCUCAUGAAAACUCAGUACUCAGUAAGAUCUGCAAUCUCAUGACUUAGCUAGAUAUCAGAUAUUAGUAGUGUUCCGUCAGUCCAAGGAACUCAGUAAACUCAGAAUCAAUUCAGUUCAGUUAGUCCGUUCAGCUCAGUUAAUCUGUUUAGUGUCUUUCAGUUGGGAGUUGGAACUAGCACCGAGCGACUAUGGGGAUGGCGGUUUCCACGUUAGAGAGGUAGAACCGUUAACAGCAAUCCCUGUACUCCAGAAUCGCGUAGCCAGCGCAGGACAGGAGUCACCCAUCAGAUUAAGGAUAAACUUGACUAUUAUUUUGCCUUAGGCUUGAUUUCCUAUUCAGGGUCACCCUUUAGAGAGGCUUUACCAUAAUAGAGGUCUCUACCCGUGGCAUGGUAUUGACACCCUUCCAAUCAGGGCAAAGAUUGGACCCCAGCAGUACAAUAAUCGGGCAUGUUAGUUAGGUUACUACCUUUCACAGUCACAGUACAGUUACAGUUUUAGUAUCUGUCUUCAGAGUAGAAAUCAGGAAUCAGGAUUAUCAGAUACAGUUAUCAAUCUCAGUAAGGAACUCAGAUAGUUCCAAUGAUUCCUGGACCAUCCCGUCAGAUAGGAUUGGUCCCAUAUUCAGAUGCUUAUUAUUAUAUCUAGAGGUCACCCGACAGACAGGCUUGAUCUCAAUCUCAGAUUCAGUCGAGUAUUCUCACUAUCAGUUUCAGAGAUCACUCGUUAGCUAGGACUGAUUUCAGACUUAGAUGUUCAGAUACAGUUUGGAACUCAGAUAGUUUUCCCCAGAAUUAGGACUGUUAGAUACAGUCAUCCAUGUUAUCAGUCAUUCAGUAUCUCANNNNNNNNNNNNNNNNNNNNNNNNNNNNNNNNNNNNNNNNNNNNNNNNNNNNNNNNNNNNNNNNNNNNNNNNNNNNNNNNNNNNNNNNNNNNNNNNNNNNNNNNNNNNNNNNNNNNNNNNNNNNNNNNNNNNNNNNNNNNNNNNNNNNNNNNNNNNNNNNNNNNNNNNNNNNNNNNNNNNNNNNNNNNNNNNNNNNNNNNNNNNNNNNNNNNNNNNNNNNNNNNNNNNNNNNNNNNNNNNNNNNNNNNNNNNNNNNNNNNNNNNNNNNNNNNNNNNNNNNNNNNNNNNNNNNNNNNNNNNNNNNNNNNNNNNNNNNNNNNNNNNNNNNNNNNNNNNNNNNNNNNNNNNNNNNNNNNNNNNNNNNNNNNNNNNNNNNNNNNNNNNNNNNNNNNNNNNNNNNNNNNNNNNNNNNNNNNNNNNNNNNNNNNNNNNNNNNNNNNNNNNNNNNNNNNNNNNNNNNNNNNNNNNNNNNNNNNNNNNNNNNNNNNNNNNNNNNNNNNNNNNNNNNNNNNNNNNNNNNUUAUGCAGUUACAGGUACAGAUAUCAGUCAUGGGUUAGCUUGUGGUCCUUCGGGGUCAUGAGCACCGUGUAGCAUUCCGGUUCAGAAAAUCGGGGUGUUGCAAUUGGUGACAUCUGUUGACGUUCAAACUGUGCCUUAAAUGCAACCUCCCAAAUCGAUCAAUUUCUUGCUUAACUUGCUUUAAUUCUUCUUGUGAAAGUAAGCAAAUCAAGCUUUUAACCGACCCCCAAAGGAUAAUGGAUUGAAUUAGACAGGCAUACAUUUUCUUCAACACAUAAAUAUGGUUUGUCUAUAAUUGACUCGGGGUCAGUAGAUGCAGGACAAGUUUUCUAAUGGGCCCAAUACCCCGCUCGGGUAUUGGGUCGUCCUAGGCUCAUGCCUAAAAUUGGGUUUUGAUUUCGUUCUAUCCUAGGUGUCUAGAGUAGGUUUGAACAUUGGUUCUCAAGCGAACAACUUGAGUUUGAAAAUACGAACAGCCAUCAGACGACUCAUGUGCUAAUAAGCCGUUCAUAUUUCCAACACAUUUUCCAAUUGAACAAUAGAGGCUGGGACAUCCACAAAACCCCAAAAUAGUUUAAAUAAAGCAGGAAUAUGCCAUGAGAUGUGUUAGUUAAACUUUACAGAAUCGAAACAUAUAAACACAUAAACAGUUAAUCAAAAGACGAAAUCAAACAUUUGGUUAGAACCUAGUUACAAAUCCCCAGCAGAGUGGUCAUUUCUNNNNNNNNNNNNNNNNNNNNNNNNNNNNNNNNNNNNNNNNNNNNNNNNNNNNNNNNNNNNNNNNNNNNNNNNNNNNNNNNNNNNNNNNNNNNNNNNNNNNNNNNNNNNNNNNNNNNNNNNNNNNNNNNNNNNNNNNNNNNNNNNNNNNNNNNNNNNNNNNNNNNNNNNNNNNNNNNNNNNNNNNNNNNNNNNNNNNNNNNNNNNNNNNNNNNNNNNNNNNNNNNNNNNNNNNNNNNNNNNNNNNNNNNNNNNNNNNNNNNNNNNNNNNNNNNNNNNNNNNNNNNNNNNNNNNNNNNNNNNNNNNNUCCGGACUGUUUGAAAAUCGUCUUUUGAUUAACUUCGAAAAGAUUAAUUUGUUGAAAUAGUGAUUUGAUUUAAAAAAAAAGGACUUGUGUAAAAUAGAUUUAGGCAACUUAGUAGGAAUUUUAACUAAGUCUAAACAAAACUAAUAAACAAAUAAACACAUAAAAGGGGAAGAGAGGAUAAAGUAAAGGAUUUAGGCUAUUGAACCCAAAUCAACGAGAUCUGUCCUAGUCUAGUCAGGAUUCCGACCCAUUUCACCUGUCCUAAACUAUUUUUCGAGCCUUUGGCUCGAGUCUUACUCCACCUAUAUAAAAUACAACUUUGGCUUCGAGGCCGAAAUGAAUGAAUAAAUAAAUGACUAAAUGAAUAAAUAAAAAGAAGACAAUAAUAAAAAUUGAGACUUUUCAAGUCUCUUAAUGACCUCAUCAAUGGGUUUUGACCCAUUUCCCUUCUUCGUCUAUCUUUAAGCACCCGCACGCCAUGUAGUGGACCUCGGGUUUAAUCUUCGAACUUGACUCGAAGGGGUAGACCUCAUUAGCCCCUUACGAAAUGCAAGAGGAGAGGAAUCCAUUUGGAGUCGAGACAUUUUUUUGCAUGCGAAGAAAAGAUGAAUAAAUUAAUAUACGUUCAAGGCAUAAAAGUGACAUAUUUCAAAGCAAAAGAAAAUAUCAAGAACCAAUUUUGAAUGACAAUGGUAAGCACACUUGCACAAGAAUGAGAGUCAACAAAUAAAAUGCAAAACAAAGACACCCACUUACAUGCCUCAGGAUUUAUGUUCAUACAAGAAUGAAUAAAGGUAAAAGGAAGAAGGUCAUAUUCAAUGAAUUAAUACAAGAAACAAACAACGUAAGCUUGCGAAAGUAAUGGGAUGAGGCAACAAGGAAAAUACUCAUGACUUCUAAAAUUGAACAAACAUAGAUACUAAUCCAUAAAAAAAAAUAAUAAAGGUUAACUUUUCAAGCAAGAGAAUCUUUAAAUUUCAAUUAAGGCAACAUUAACGAAAAUUCAUACAUCUAAAUUACAACCAAAAUUUUAUGAGAAAAAACGUGUAAUGACCUAUGAUUUAUAUUUCUAAGACAUCGUUGAUUCUCCUUUGAUAUUAUGAAUCAGUGAGAGACACGAAUCAAAUCUUUACACUUACAAAGAGCACAUAUAACAAUCCAAAUGGCGCAAGAAAAUUAGAAUAAAGUUUAGCAUUUCUAAAAGUGAAAUAUUGUCACAAUCAUACUAUGCAUGACUUGAAAAUAUCUAAAUAAUUCUAUUUAGCCACAAAAAUUCGAACUUUCGCAUCAUUUUGACAAAUUUGAAAACAUGCGAAAAAGUAGAAUAAAUAUCGUGGAUAAAAAAUAAAGCUAGCACUUCAUAUCUUAUAUGAAGAUUUUGGAGAUCUCUUAAAAUAAUUAAUAAGUAAAUGAAAAAUUCUUGACUUAAUCAAUUACUAUUUUUAUUAAGGCGAAACAAACAAUAGUAAUUAUUUUUUCAAUAUAAAAGAAACAACUUUACAGCUAAAACAAAGAUAUCCGUCAACAAUAAAUUUAAACAAGACAUGAGUUUGUCUUUUGAGCAAAGAUCAAAACUUUAUACAUGACAAUCAAAGAAUAAAGUCAAAAGGCAAAACAAUCAAUAUUAACCAUUCUUUUCAACAUAAAAAAAAUAACUUUACACGCUAAAAACAAACAUGUCUACCAACAAUGAGUUUAAACAAGACAUGGGUAUGACUUUUCAAGUAAAGAUCUAAACUUUAUCCAAAAUAAUCAAAGAAUAAGGUCAAAAGGCAAAACAAUCAAUAUUAACUAUUCUUUUCAACAUAAAGAAAAUAACUUUACAUGCUAAAAACAAACAUAUCUACCAACACUGAGGUUAAAUAAGACAUGGGUAUGACUUUUCAAGUAAAGAUCUAAACUUUAUCCAAAAUAAUCAAAGAAUAAGGUCAAAAGGCAAAACAAUCAAUAUUAACUAUUCUUUUCAACAUAAAGAAAAUAACUUUACAAGCUAAAAACAAACAUAUCUACCAACACUGAGUUUAAAUAAGACAUGGGUAUGACUUUUCAAGUAAAGAUAAAAUAAUUAGAAUAUCGAUACCACAACAUCCUAGGGCCUUUAAGGCCAUCUACAACAUACAAUCCCAGCAAACAAAAUUAUAUCUAUGAACUAUGAAGAAGAAAAAAGAUGAAGAAGAAAACGAUAACAAAAACUAAAAAAAAAAAGAUGUGUUUACCUUUUUGGGGAAGCAAAACGAGAUUAUGAGCUUCGUCGGAAUCAACCACCACCAAAAAAAUGUCGCCGGCAACUUGAAAUUUUUUAUUAGCUGACCAACUCUAUGAAACAAAAAUUUUUACUAAAUAAAAAUAACUAUUUUGCUCAAAAAGGAUUUUUUCACCUUUCUAGCCUUUUUCUUUUUUUCUUUUCCCCCAUUUUUACUAAAGUAGUGGUAGUAUUUAUAGGAGAGAAUGAGAUUUUUUUUCCUCUCUUCCACCAAUGUGGGAGAAAAAGCAAUUAAGGGUAUUUUUAAAAUUUUAAAAUUGAAGAUAAGGUGAGGUGGAAGAUAAUGUGGUGGAAAAUUGUACAAUGUAGUACAACUUUUGAAUUUGAAAAUUGGGAAAAGACAAAGUUGGGGGGAAAUAGUACAAUGUAGUACAAUUUAAAUUAUUUUUUUGUGGAAUUAGGUAGAAGUUAUGAAUGUUUUUGAGAAUAUUGGGUUAUUUAAAAUAUAACUCCAAUUGGAAUUUAAAAUUUAGCCAUAUUUAUUUAAUUUUGACCAAAUUAAAAAUCAAUUGACGGAUUGCAUUACAAUUAUGGCCAAUUUGAUUUCAAUUAUGGCCAAAUCUACUAGAUUGGCUAAAUUAAAUUAAAAUUCGAUGUGAAUUAAUAAUACGAUAAAUUAUAAUCACUACUUAAAAUGAUAAAAUUAUGUACAAAUAUAUUUAAUAAAUUUUUAUUCGGAUGAAAUAAAUAUUUUAAUUUUAUUAAAAAUAAAAAAACUCAGGAUUAAAUUUAGUCGCGGAGGGUAAAAAUUAGGUGUCAACAAUGAGCAUUCCAUGAAACACAUACAAGGUAUAGCUUUAGCAUGGAAGACAUUGUGAACAUGUGGGUAUAGCAUAAGUUCAUCAUUUAGAUCCCCAAAGGAUCAUAAAAGCACUAUAAUCUAAAUUUAGCAUUUUAUCAAACACAUGGUAGGCGUAGCUUCAUACUUGGGCAUAAACAAUAAUGCUAAUACAUCAUGCCUUAAUAAUUUAAGGGUUUCAAUAUAAGAGAAUCAAAAUUCAACUUACAUGCUAUCAUAAUAUCAAGAAAUACAUAAAGAUUUUAACUUGGAACACAUACCACAGCGUCAAAAUGAUUACAUUCAAACCCACAACAUGGAAAUCACAAUUCAUGUUUUUAAAAGAAGUUUCUUGAACUCCAAGGGUGGAGGACCCUUGGAUGAACACUUUACAUACCUUGUUGAAGAAUUUCUAGAAUUUAAUGAUGGAAAUCUUGAGUUCUUGAUUUGAAAUUUAAAAACCCUAAAGCUUGUUUGUUCUUGAGAGAAGUUGAGAUAGAGAAAUUGAGACAGAAUGAGUUUAUUUGCUUUCUAGGGUAUUAAAUUUUGUGUUUUGAAGGCUGAGGGUCGGGAUAAAAAGACCCAAAUACCCCUAAGAACGCGGUCUUUUAAUGACUAAAAUUGGGUUACCGAUGCACAUGUCUACGCGGCGCGUCGAUGACAUCGACGUGAUAGUUUACACGUCGCGCCAAGAUUGUACUAACUCAUUGGAAUUUGAUGCUAGUAGAUGGGAAAAAUAUGAACCAACGCGAUAGGCAACAUGGCACGCCAAGAUCAUGAUAUUUCACUGUUUUGGGAUUCCAAAGGAGCUUCAAACAAAGUCCGAAAAAUCCUAAACCUGUACGGGAACACCUAUUGACCUUCUUGAUCGUGAAUUAACUAAAACAUAGACAUUUAAAGGACAUUAAGGUCGUGCAAUGAGAUUUCCAACUUUUGAAGGGUAAAAAUAAACUAAGUCUGAAUACUUAGCUAUAAUUUUUUUCUACAUCUGGGACCCCUUAACAAGAUUAAAGGACUGAACUAAGUUAAAAAUUUUACGGGGUCUUACAAUAUCUCCCCCUUGGGAACAUUCAUUCUCGAAUGAGACUGACUGAACUAAGAGUACUAGUAGGCUGAAUCUACUUACUGGAUAUGAACAUCUGCGACCUGACUGUAGGACUAAUAUUACUGACAAGAUGAAUUUCAUAUUGAAUAUGCAUAUCUAAUGCAUGUAUGAAUGCAUGACUGAAAGUACUGAUAAUCUGAGUUUCUCAUACUGAUUAUGCUUAUCUGGUGCAUAAAUACAUGAUUGAACUGGCUCAUGAACAUAUGACUAAGUAUGCAAUAGUAAAUGAUACCAAUUUUGUAAUGAAAAUCUGAGCAUGAAACUGAAUAAGCAUAAGGAAAGCCAUUACCUUGGGCUGAGACUGGAUUCUACUUUUGCUUCCCAAGUAGCUCCCUCGACGGGCUUAUUCCGCCAAAGAAAUUUGACUAUAGGGAUUUGGGGACAUUACUGAGUCUGAAGUAUGAUACAUGGACUGAAUAUUAGGCACUGAACUAAGCCACUGAAUACAUGGAUCACGACUGAGAUUGGAACUUGAGGGUCAACCUAUGAGUACCUACCAUUCCAAAUUGGAUUCUUUAUGUGAAAAUAAACUGAAGAGUUUAGGACAUGAUAGCUCAGGGGUUAUAGAGCAUCUCCCUUCUUGGGGCAUUAUGUCCCUUGAAGAAUACUGACUUGGCAGAGAUACUGAGGAAAACUAGGAUGAUGCGCAGGGUACCUAAGAAUCGAGUCGUGAUUAGAUAUGAUAUCUGGGGUCUGAAACUGAGACAUGAUACAUGGAAUGGGAUGAAUACGUAACUACCUGGUUUCCCCAUCUUGGAACAGUUACGUUAAUGAGUUCGGAUAGUACGAAUAAAUGUAAAGAUGGUAAACCAUACGAACUUGUCCGUUUGACUGCUAAACUGAAUCACUGGCUCUGUGGACUAACUUAUGCUGAAAACUUAUAUUCUACUGAGGCCUUUUUCUGACGCUCUUUCUAUAGAGUUCUCGUAGAUUUAGGGGGUAAAGAAAUCUUGGAAUGGUCUAAAUAAGUUCUGUAAUAUGAGUUGUGGCCUACGAAACAUCAUCUAAGAUGAAGUGGCUAAGCCUUAUGCACUACAACUAAAAUUUUUGAGCUUAGAGAUAUCCCCUGAAUAUCUUUUCAAUUAUACUCUCCAUCUUAGUACAACCCUUCACCUAAGACUACUAAAAAUAUUUGCAUGGGUGCUGAGAACGAAUGCAUAAUCAUACUAACUUAUCAAAUUAGCUAAAUUACUGGGUCUGCAAAAUAGAACUGUACUUAGCCUGAAUAACUGAACUGAAAUAAUAGAGUGUCAUGUAUAUGAGGUAAGGACUACUGGAUAACAUAAAAUAACUGAGCACGAAUUCAUAAAAACUGUAUUAUUUGAGAAUACAAGACCAAGCAUAUGAUAUGAUUCUAAAAUAGUCUGUAAACUGAGGUACUGAAGUACUAAAAAUCUGAGUAACUGAUAACUGUACACUAUAGUCAAGCAAUCCUGAGACUGAAGCUGGCAUGUCUGAGACUGUAACGAUGACUAUAAUUGAGACUGUAAUGGGGAUGAAUACACUGUAAGGCAUAAGAGUAGUAGUCAUGAGUUGCAUUACCUAAGUUAGGAGUUUUCUGCACUUAUGGAAUAUGAUUCGUACUACUGAGUGAACUGGAACUCCUCAUACUAGGAACUGUAAGCGCACAUGAUUCUAUAGAAAGUACAUGAAUAUAAGCUGUAUUCAUGGAGCUGAUACGUAAAUCAUGCAUAGGUAUCAUGAUGACUGAAGUACAAAACUUUGAACAGAGGUAAAGACAGGUUGUGCAUCAUUCCCACCCUUUACUUUUCUAUACGUACUAAUAUUACUACUGAAAUCUGGAAGCCUAACUUCUUGAGAUAUCAUAACUGAACAGUUCCUGUAUACUCGUUGGGCUACGAUAAACUGACCCACUGUGGUGGAGACUAAGAAAGGUUUUGUUAAUAUUUGGUCUGACUUUAAAGUUAACUGCUAUACAAAAAAUUACAAAAGGCAGAGAAGCUCCUGAAUCGGAUGAGUCAUAAACAUGUGAAAUGGAAGGUCUAUAAUAUACCAGUAACUGUAUUAGGAGAACUUUCUCGAUGUUGCUUGGACUGAAGUUCAUAAAGCCUAUUUGGGCGCUGCUACUGGCGGUACUGGAGGUGGCACUCUGCUGAUUCGGGCGACCAGAAUGAGCUGAAGAACGACUGUGCUGACUUCGUAGGUCAGGCUUAGGACAAUCUCAGACUCUGUGACCUGACUUGCCAUAUCCAAAAUGCACAUCACUACUGGCUCUACACAUAUCCGUAUGAUUAUUACCACAUUCUUUGCAAAGUAGAUUAGUUCAAACACCGCUUGCACUACUCUGGGUUUUAGAGCCUGGUACCCAUCAUGACUGUCAUUCCUAAACUUUGGUACUGGUGCACUAGUUGAAGAUGGAACUGGGGCUGUAGAUUUUGAGCAGAACUGAAAAUGAUUCCCACCUUCUAACUUGAGCUGAGCAAAGCUAAAACUACUUGUUCUACAUCUCUUAUUUUCUAUCUCCUUCUUUUUAGGCUUCUGCUCCUCAAUCUAUUGAGCAUGGACUAUAAGCCUAGAUAUGUCCAUCUUCUUAAUCAACAUUGUAGUCCUGCACUUCUUAACCACUCUACCCGAUACCCCAGACACAAACUUGCUUAUUCUGGAUCUAUUGUCUGCUACUACGUGGGGAGCAUACCUAGCUAACUAAGUAAACUUGAGGGAAUACUCUUUCACACUCAUACUGCCUUGCCUGAGAUUGAUGAACUCCAACACCUUGGUUUUUUUCAGAUCUAAAAAAAAGAAUCCAUCUAAAAAGGCCAUAACAAACUCUUCCCAUUCUAUGGGCUCUGUAUCUGGACCCCUGUCUACCUUCCAUUGCUUAAACCACGUAUGGGGUACAUCUUGUAUCUUAUAGGAAGCUAACUUAGGACUCUCACUGAAAGUCACUCCUAUGAUAUCUGUGACUUUCAGAGCCUAAUCGAGGAAAUCCUAUGGAUCCUCUUCUAUCUUAGAUCCUGAGAAUAAAGAAAGAUUUAUUCGAGUGAAGUCCUGAAUCCUGGCUGUAGAAAUAUUGGCCACUGGGUUGACCAAAGCAACAACUAGCCAUUCAUUCUGGGCUGCUACUGAAUUGGCUAGAAUAGUGAAUGCAUUUCUGAAUUCUGCAUGAGAGACAUGCUCGUCCAAGGGAUCUGCCUGAAUGGGCUGAGGUGCUGACUAUUUUUUGAUUCUUCUUUCGUUAGUCCUUUUGGGAGGUAUGUUCUAUAAUUGAAAGGAAAAAGUGGAUUAGAAUGAGAGCUUAACUGGAGCUCAUGCUCACUCGUACGACAUGAAUAUUGAAAGAAGGGAAACUAUUACUCCAACAUCUCAUAGCCUUCUGUACAUAAGUGUGGCGCGCUACACACCCAUGCAAAAGACUCUACUAGAUGUGACUUUUAGACUUUUUAGGACUCUAUUGAAGCUUAGGCUCUGAUACCAAGUUUGUAAUGCCUCGAGUCUGGUACCCCAGAUGCUAUACGGUGCUUAUAAUCUCAAAUGCCACAAGCUAAACCAUGACUGGUACCUGCUGCAAUAACUGAUUAAUAAUAAUACAUAAUUCAAAAUAAUGCGUUGAAAUGCCAUUAGGUUCAAAACUGUAAUACUGAUAAAGAGAAAUAAUAAAAUCUGAUAAAAUUAUCAAAAUCUGAAAUACUGAAUACUAUCUGAAUAUCUAGUCUGAAAAGCCUCUAAAACUGUCUGAACUGUGGAUUUGAUGGGACAAGCCCCCAACUAACUCUAACUACUAAAAAUAAAUUGAGAUACUGAAUGAAUAAUAUGUCCUCAAACUAUGAGGACUCACCACUACUCUAUCUGCUGAAAGUCUGAUCUGCUAAGGGUGCUCUGGAGCCUGUACGUCUGAACCUAUGGUAUAAAACACCAUAGCACAAAAAACAGUAUGCAUCAGUACGAGUGAAUAUACUGGUACGGAAAGUGAGGUAAGCCUGAAUGCAAGGCUUCAUAUGUAUGAACUAUAACUGACUGAAUAACAUGAACAUGACAACGUGAGAAUAUGUGCAUAAAUAUAUAUAACUGUAACUGAAGUCAUAGGGAUUCUGAAUACUGUGUUUACUGAUAGCAUGGAUUACUUAUAACUGAUAUAAUUGAUAACUGAUAUACAGUUUGCUGAGUGACUGUGUCUGACAGUCCUAUUUCUGAUGGAACUAGCUGAGUUCCAUACUGAUCUGAGUGACUGUAUCUGACAAUCCUAAAAUUUGUAGAACUAUCUGAGUUCUUUACUGACGAUUGAGACUGAUAUUGUGAGAGGUAAUCAUCUAAUCGACAUGCCCCCUUCUAAACUAUUUGGGGUCCAACCUAUAACCACAAUUAGAAGGAUGUCAGUAUUGUACUAUGGGUAAAGACAAGUUGUGAGUUUACCCUCUCUGACAGGAAGAUCUUUCGUCAACCCUUCACUGGUAGAAGAACUCGAAUGAGGUGUAUUAACCCUAGAAUCAUAGGGUUAUCUCUCAACCUAUGUUGGCUACGUAGUUCUGGCAUACAAGGAUUGCUUCUAAGGAUCACACCCUCUGCUGGUGGGUGAGCCCCCAUCCCUGGGUUCACUCGGUGCUGAAUCCUACUCCCAACUGAGUAGACAUUGGACUGAUUUCCUAGUUUAUACCAGGUUGGACUGAGCUGUUACUGAUUGUACUAAUUAACUGAACUGAACUGAGUUUACUGAGUUUCGUUGACUGAUGGAAUACUACUGAGUUCUGUUAGAUAACUGAGAUUAUUGAGGACUGAACUGAAUACUGAAUGGGACUGGAUUGAUACUGAGUUUACUGAGUUUUCCUGAGUUCUGUAACUGAACUAGAGUACUACUGUCAGUGACAUAAUUCAUACUGUUUGGUAACUGACACUGGCUCUAGGCCCACAACUAAAUUAUCGGGUAUUAAAUACCUCCAGAACUCGAUAGCAUAAAAACAAUAAGACAUGACAAUUCUUGAAUACUUGACAAUAGUCAACAAAUCACAAUACAAUCUAUGAGGUAUUUCAUCAAUCACUUGAAAGUCAUGAACUUGCACAUGAAUAGGAAUGCAUGCUAACACAUCAUAAUUUUAUUAAACCAAUCUCAUGAGCAUUCCAUCAAACACAUACAAGGUAUAGCUUUAGCAUGAAAUACAUUGUGUAUAUGUGGGUAUAGUAUAAGUUCAUCAUUUAGAUCCCCAAAGAAUCAUAAAAGCACCAUAAUCUUAAUUUAGCAUUUUAUCAAACACAUGGCAGGCGUAGAUUCAUACUUGGGCAUAAACAACAAUGCUAAUACAUCAUGACUUCAUAAUUCAAGGGUUUCAAUAUAAGAGAAUCAAAAUUCAACUCACAUGCUAUCAUACUAUCAAGAAAUACAUAAAGAUUUCAACUUGGAACACAUACCACAACGUCAAUGUGAUUACAUUCAAACCCACAAUAUGAAAAUCAUAAUUCAUAUUUUUAAAAUAAGUUUCUUUAACUCCAAGGGUGGAAGGGACCCUUGGAUGAACACUUUACAUACCUUGUUGAAGAAUUUCUGGAAUUUAAUGAUGGAAAUCUUGAGUUCUUGAUUUGAAAUUUAAAAACCCUAAGGCUUGUUCUUGAGAGAAAUUGAGAAAGAAUGAGUUUAUUUGCUUUCUAGGGUAUUAAAUUUCAUGUUUUAGGGGCUGAGAGUUAGGGGAAAAAGACCCAAAUACCCCCAAGAAUGCAUUCUUUCAAUGACUAAAAUUAGGUUACCGACGCACAAGUCUACGCAGUGCGUUGAUGACAUCGACACGAUAUACUACUCAUUAUGCUAAGAUCGUGUCGACUCUCUGAAAUUUGAUGCUGUUAGCUAGGGAAAAUAUAAACCAACGUGAUAGGCGACGCGGCGCGCUAAGAUCGCAUUGGUUUACUGUUUUGGGAUUUCAAAGGAGCUUCAAACAAAGUUUGAAAAAUUUAAAACUUAUCCAAGAACACCUAUUGAACUUCCUAAUCAUGAAUUAGCUAAAACAUAGACAUUUAAAGGACAUUAAGAUUGCGAAAUGAGAUUGCCAACUUUUGAAGGCUAAAAUAAACUAAGUCUGAAUACUUAGCUAGAUUUUUUUUUUAAGUCUGGGACCCCUUAACAAGCUUAAAGGACUGAGUUAAGUUAGAAAUUUUGUGGGGUCUUACAUAUAUAACCAUUAUGCUGAUUUACUUGAUGAAGUCGUACCGACAAAUAUCACUCCAACUGUCUCUCCUUAAGCUCCCAAUGAGCCAUCACUUCUAAAAGACAGGCACAUAGUAGUCAUUCUGAUUAUUUUUUUGGUUUAAAUGUUUGGGAUAGGGUGCAGCCUUCUUCACACAGAACAAAUUCUCGGAAAGAGCUUAAGUAUCUUUUUCGAUAGCCGAUAGAGGAUCGUAGAGCAAGGAUCUGCGCGCUGGAUGAAAGAAUAAUAAAAAAUAAUAGCCGGUGCUUUUAAGAUUAGCUAGAGAUAUAUUGAAUGUUUCAAUGUCAACCGUUGCAUCGGAGAGUGCUUUUAGUCAGGGACGAUAACAACUUGGAGAAAAUCGACACUCAUUAGGAAGCAAUGCUAUGAAUGUUCUAGUUUGGCUUAUAUAUUGAAUUAAAGAGGAAUGAAGAAAUCAAGGAAUUGUGGAGAAGCCGAAAGAUGAACCAAAUCUUGAAGAAAUUAUGACUUCAAGAGAGAACUCAGCACAAUCAAGCCCAAUUCAUGGUUUAGCCUUUGCCCCCAUUGAUUUUGACUUUCCUAUGACAGUUUUCAUUAAUGUUAACAUGCAUGAGUUGGAAAAAGUGAUGCAAAAUUUGUAGAUUUUUCAUUCAUGUAAAUUAUAAGUUUUGGAUCCUUUUUCAAUCAAUAAAAUGCAACAUUCAUUCACUCCUUACUUAUUUUUUAAUUUAAAUUGAAUGUCUAGUUUUAAUUAAAUACUUUUAAUAUAUUACUAAUUUACUAUCAAACUUUAGACUAAGUAAUAAACAUAACAAACAUCUAUCCAUAUAAUGAAAAAAAUAAUAUUAGCAAAUAUUACUUAGACAACUAGUAUUGACCUAUAAAAAUACUAUAAUUUUAUCUCUUAAGUGUUGCAUGUAAAAUUGUAAAUUUUUGAAUAUAUGUUCAAAAACUUCAAGUAUUAUUAUAUUAAGUAGCAUACAUUGUAAUCUUGUAUGUAUAUAUGUGUAUAUUUUUUAAAGUACUAUAGCAUGUAAUGCAUAUAUCUUUCAAC